rnacentral:rRNA from 1 species
GAAACUGCGAAUGGCUCAUUAUAUCAGUUAUAGUUUAUUAGAAAUAAUUUACUACUUGGAUAACCGUAGUAAUUCUAGGGCUAAUACAUGAGUAAAUCCUCGACUUUGAAGAGGUGUGUUUAUUAGUAUGAAAACCAUAUGCUUUUGCAUAAUUGUGAGUAAUAAUAACCUUUCAUAUCGUAUGUUGUAAUAACGAUAGUUCUUUCAAGUUUCUGCCCUAUCAUCUUUCGAUGGUAGUGCAUUGGACUACCAUGGCAGUAACGGGUAACGAAGAAUUUGGGUUCGAUUUCAGAGAGGGAGCCUGAGAGAUGGCUACCACAUCCAAGGAAGGCAGCAGGCGCGUAAAUUACCCAAUCCUGACAUAGGGAGGUAGUGACAAUAAAUCACAAUGCGGGACUUUUAGUUUUGCAAUUGGAUUGAGAACAAUGUAAAAGACGUAUCGAUAAACAAUUGGAGGGCAAGUCUGGUGCCAGCAGCCGCGGUAAUUCCAGCUCCAAUAGCGUAUAUUAACGUUGUUGCAGUUAAAAA